rnacentral:lncRNA from 1 species
GACGACGUGUUGACAAAUCUUUCGUCAUUUUACCUCGCGGAUUUUAAAUAUUGAUUACACGUUUAUUUUUUCAGAUAGAUCUCCAAAUAAAAUAAACGAUCUUAUUUAUUUAUCUUCGAAUGAUCAUAUAUAUAUAUAUGUAUGAUAUAGUGUUUAUAUUCAUUCUAAUAUUUUUGUUUCUGUAAAAAAGAAAAGGAAUAAAAUAAGGUAAUAUUCGUUUUCAUUAUUAGUAAUUAUUCAUAAGAUGCAACGUCAAUAAACAUCUUCGAAAUUUAUGACACCAUCAUUCAUUCUGUUACAAUAGGUAGAAAAGCAAACAAAAGACAAUACCCAUUAACUUUUAUACGUAACACCAUAACUGUUUCUCGUUAUAUAUUCCUUUUUUCGCAUCUGAUUUAUUUCUAACAAUUUCGAGAUCCAAUACAUAAUGGAAUUCAAAGAAACUGAUAAUGUCACAUUUUCGACAGACGUUUGGAAGCGUUCGAUCCUGCAGGAUCCACGAGGCAAGGCGGUGGUCCGUCGAGGAGUAUCAGCUGUUCGAAUUAUUAUCGUUGCAGGCGACGGCAGAUGUUCACUAGGCUAAAACGCUCCCCCGAAGGCUUUGAACCCGCUGAUCUCUUUUCUUUAGAGCGAGUGAAAAACUUUCAAGGAAGCCCAACGUCUCGUCCAAUCUUGCACAAUGCCUCGUUUUCACGAACGAGUGGAACCUAACCUAAAAAUUGGAAAACGACGAGAACGGUUUAGUGUCGUUUUCGUAUCGCAUCGAAAUAAAUCGAUCGUCUCUUCGAACGCACGCAAGUUAUUCGCGUCGAAGCCGAGCAUACAUAUACUUUCUAACGAUCUCGCUAGCAAUCUCGUUGUGAGGAUAACUCGACCAAUCUGGAUUCCCCGACAAUCGGGUACAACCUCCGUUUCGCAGCAUUGUUCGAAACCUGCCGUAAGUUACGUGUCACGAAGUAUAGGAUAUCAUCGUCGUCUGCGUUUGAAGGAGACCCCAUAGGUUCGUGGCACGCGCUGCCAGCUGCCCCACAGCUGUCUCUCUUCUCCUGUCGUCCCCCAUAUACGCGAGGCCCGGGGUUCUUACCCGGCCGUAGUGCAUUUACCACACGGAACGGGGCCCUUCUCGCCUCUGUAUAUAUAUAUAUAUAUAUAUAUAUAUGCAUGCGCACCGAAUUCAAAACGCGUGUAUUUCGUGGGCUACGUACCUACGUACGUUGUCACGUAGUUGCAUACUCGAUGAGGUAGGUGCACCCUUAAGGAAAGACGCUCUUAUUGUGAACAAGAAGAGGAGAUCAGCCUUUCACGAAUUUUCAAAUAUGUCUUCUAAUAUUUCACCUUUUCUUUCUUAAUUCAAUCUUGGUGUCUUUUCUUGCGAGAAUCUUAAGAAACAAGUUUCUUUCAAAAUGGAAACGCAAUUUUAAAAAUUAAUCGUUCCUUCUUUUUCUUCUUUAUCUAUUUCGGUAGCUAGAUAUUCACCUUAUCGUUAAAACAUUCUGCAGGGUUUUGCAUUUGCGGUUUCCCAUCCGGCCGGCCCGACACGCAGGAAAUAGUCCUGAAGUGUCCUAGAGGAUGCAAGGCUAUUAGGUUUCGCGUGGAAAAAAGCGACGUGGUAGAAGAAAGGCGGGCGGGCGGACGGGCGGCGGAGGAGGGGGAAGGAGGGGCGUUGACGGCAGAGGGCGUAAGUGGACGGUACCGUGAAAGUAUAUAGAAAGGAAAAGGGAGAAAAACAAAAAAAAAAAAAAAAAAAAAAAAAAAG